AAAAUCCGUCGACUUUAGAAAUCGUGAGGGUUCAAGUCUGGUUCAAGUCCCUCUAUCCCCA
rnacentral:tRNA from 1 species